CGAUCAAUAGCUCAGUCAGUCAGCAUGAGACUUUUAAUUUCAGGGUUGUGAGUUCAAGCUCCACAUUGGUUGA